AGACAACCUGUCUCGUCCCCCGUUCCCCACAAACUAUUUUAAAUAGUAAUUAUCAAAAUGUUAAGAUAUAAAAAAUAUGAUAUGUCAAAAAAUUGUCAGUUGAGUAAAUAUUUAUUAUUUUUACUUAAACAAUUCUCAAUAUAUCUUUUAUCCUUUUAAUUUACUAUAAAACUUAUAAAUUUAAAUAUAGAACGAGCACCAUGUUAAGUUAGUGACGAUGGAAUGGGCUAACGAUCAAGUUCAACAAUUUUUGUUGAAGGCCAAGCAGGAGUACAGAGAUUGGGUGAGCUAGACAUAGGCUGUCUUCAAUACUUAUAGAGCAUGUAUGGUUUAAAAGAGAAAAAAUAGAAUGGUAAAAAUAAUAAUUUGUUUAGUUCGUAGAAAUAGAAAUGAAUCAUAUUUAAAUUAAAAAUCAGAAUCAUAUCUAAAUUAAAAAUUCAAGAACUUAAAAUUAAAUUUUAAAUUUAAAUUU
rnacentral:lncRNA from 1 species